UGUCACACACAUCAUCCGAUGUUUUUGUCUACAUUGAGUUUUGUAGCAAUUUGUCAACUAUUAUGUUCACAACGAUAUCGUUCUUUGUGUUUAAUGUAAGAAGAAAUCGAAUUAGAGCGCUACUAAAGAAGGUGAAAAACUUGCGAUUGGGUGUUAUUUCUAGAAGCACUAAACCUAACUGGCCUAGAAUGGCUCUUAUUGGGUCAAUCGUUGUAAACACUGCUCUCAUCCCGUUCAAAAAAUGUGCCAAAAUUAAUUACACCAUCUAUACUUGGUUUCCGGCUUUGAUUAGUACUUCUGAAGUUAUGUACUUGAAUGUCGUAUUGAAUUACUUUAAUGAAAAGUUCGAUUCGAUCAACCAUAACUUACAAAAUUUGCUAAUUACUUCGUUUCUUUUAACACAGUCAGACAAACUGAAAUCGUACGAAGAAGACGACACUAACUACGAAAUCCAGCACAUUCAGGACUUAUCUCUGGUUCAUUACAAACUAGUACAACAAGUCUCUGAGUUUAGUGAUAUUUUCGGAAUCACUAUAAUUCUGUCACUGAUUUUAUGGUUCGAAAAUAUCAUUGAAACGUUUUAUUUUUUAAUUUAUAUGAUGGUGAAUGGUAGCGACAGCUUGAUUUACGAAAGCGCAGUCUAUGGGUGUUAUGUAGUGUUUGCGAUCUCAUGGAUGUUUAUUUUAAUUUUUAGUUUCAGCACAGUUCAAAACAAGGCUAACGCAACUGUAAUUUAUGUACAUGAUAUUGGAAACAAGUACUUGUUGAGUGGGAAAAUGAAUGUAAAGACUCAACAUCUUUCUUUUAUUUCUGCCAGACUGCUCAGUAUGAAGCUGCAGUUCACUGCGUUGCAUUUUUUUAACCUGGAUUGGACUUUUUGCCAUAUGUUGGUCGCUGCUGUUGCUACUUAUGUGGUUAUUCUUGUCCAGUUUCGCAUUUAAAUCGUUUUCCAGUAAACAUAUUCUAUGUAAUCACGAAUUAUGAGCAUAUCAGUAACCUACAUCUGUGGAAAAUUGGAAAAUAUGUUUGAUAUUAAACAUUGAUCACUUUUUUUUUGGAUUAAAACAGAUUACAAUUUUAUUAUUAUUUGAGAAUAA